rnacentral:tRNA from 1 species
UGGCUGAUGCGUUGGGAUCUUCAGUGCGUGCACUGCAGCUGCGCGGCGACCUGGUGCAGACCCUGGUCGGGCAG